rnacentral:sRNA from 1 species
GGCUGCUUAGCGCAAUUUAUUGUUGCAUA